ACUUCCUUGUUCCCAUAAAUGGAGUUAUCAUUUAUUCAGUACACCUGUCUCACAGCCCUUCUCUGCUUUUCCUUCUCCUAGGCAUGACAAUCUACAUCCAUUUGUUUGCCAAACUCACCUUAGAAAUGUUUUUCAUAGGUAACCUGGCUCCUCUCUCGCAUCCUCACAACCACAACCCUGUAUGGCAUCUCCUUUAUUUCUCACUUACAACUC
rnacentral:lncRNA from 1 species